GCAUUGCCCACUCCGCUCCACGCGCCCAAUCCCAUCUUCUCCCGUCUCGUUCCACACCAGCCGCCACACAACCCUAGCCCCUUUCCCAUCGAUCCCCACAGCCCCUCCCUCCUUCUCGCUCCUCGCCAUGGCCGAUUCCCACAGCCCCUCCCUCCUGCUCGCUCCUCGCCAUGGCCUCCGCCCUUGGAGCCUCGCCAUGGCCUCCUACUCCCCCUCCACCACCGUACGUGCACACAGACGGCGGUGCCGGAGAAGAGCAGCUCCAGUCAUGGUGGGGUGCAGCUGCGCCGGGGAUGAAGGAGGUCCGCCGCCUGUCUUUGUCUCCUUGCUGCGUCCUUUGUUGCCAAUCCUCCCCUCUCCAUUAGCCCCUAGCAGCGCAACAGUCUGGGACAAGGGGAAGGAGCAGGUCAACCCGACUCCAUCUCUCUGCACGAGGACUAGAGGAGCAGGUGGCGAGGGAAGCCGGCACGGCCAGCGGCGGCGCUGCACAGGGACGUCCGCCUCGGGUUUUCCGUCCUGUCUCCCGAUCCCCUUCCCUUUAAGUGUUUUUCUUUUUCCUCUUGGCCCGAUCUGCUCACAUGUUUGGGGUUUCGUGCUGUAGGGAUAAGAUCUGGUGCGGGAGGUGUGGUAUACUGCAUAGGUGUAUAAUCUUGGCUAUGAUCUAUUCUGGAGAAUGUCGAUGUUAAAGCAUUUGGUUUUGAUGGAUCAUAUUAUUGGUUCUCUGUUCAACUGAAGAUGUCUUCAGAUAGGACUAAGGUGAGUUGAGUUGUGGCUUGGUUGGAGAUGUUGAUGCUGUUUGAGACGCCCGCUGGAUUCACCCUUUUCAAGGUUAUGAACAUGGGCAAGCUCGACAAGGUCCAGGGGUAUAUGGACCACAAAUGAUGUGAUAUACUUGGUUGUUUCAACAUGAGUACGGCUCAGUAGGAAGGUCAACCGUGGGGAGGCGCAACAUAGCGCGGCCUCAGCCAAUUAGAUCUGAGGAUGAAGAGAAGAAGAAUUUAUCUAAAAGGGUGAACAAGAUCAAGGGGGUGAGAGGCGGAUAACAAUACGAGAAGGAGCAUGCCAUCGAGGAAUGCAAGCAGCGGCACUCCUCCGCAAUGGGGUAUGGCUACAGGGGAGGGGACACGGCCAACUGACAGGAAGAAGGAGCAGGUCGUCGAUGUAGCAUAUGGGCCUUUCAGAUGCAUGUGCCUCCAUAUGCGCCAGAAGUUAUUCUUUUCAUGCACAUGCAAAAUAAAAUUUUAAUAGAAACACUGCUAAAAGACCCUCCUUAGCAGGUUUAUAGAUGUCGUAAAAAUAUAUUCUUUUUCAUACAUUAAACUCGAAAUUCUUAGCGUGUGCAUUUCCCAUACAAAUGAGUACUAGAAAAAAUAAAUGUGUUUACAACACGGGAUGGUUUAAA